rnacentral:rRNA from 1 species
AACAAACGCUGGCGGCGUGCCUAACACAUGCAAGUCGAGCGAGAACGGGACUUCGGUCCUUAGUACUGCGGCGCACGGGUGAGUAACACGUGGGUAACCUACCUUCAGUUGGGGAUAACGUCUCGAAAGGGGCGCUAAUACCGAUAUAAGACUACGGCUUCUUCGGAAGUAGUAGCCAAAGGGGCGAAAGUCUCGCUGAAAGAUGGGCUCGCGCACCAUUAGCUAGUAGGUGGGGUAAUGGCCUACCUAGGCGACGAUGGUUAGCUGGUCUGAGAGGAUGAUCAGCCACACUGGAACUGACACACGGUCCAG